GAUGAACGCUGGCGGCGUGCCUAAUACAUGCAAGUCGAGCGAACGGACGAGAAGCUUGCUUUUCUGAUGUUAGCGGCGGACGGGUGAGUAACACGUGGAUAACCUACCUAUAAGACUGGGAUAACUUCGGGAAACCGGAGCUAAUACCGGAUAAUAUUUUGAACCGCAUGGUUCAUAAGUGAAAGACGGUCUUGCUGUCACUUAUAGAUGGAUCCGCGCUGCAUUAGCUAGUUGGUAAGGUAACGGCUUACCAAGGCAACGAUGCAUAGCCGACCUGAGAGGGUGAUCGGCCACCCUGGAACUGAGACACGGUCCAGACUCCUACGGGAGGCAGCAGUAGGGAAUCUUCCGCAAUGGGCGAAAGCCUGACGGAGCAACGCCGCGUGAGUGAUGAAGGUCUUCGGAUCGUAAAACUCUGUUAUUAGGGAAGAACAUAUGUGUAAGUAACUGUGCACAUCUUGACGGUACCUAAUCAGAAAGCCACGGCUAACUACGUG
rnacentral:rRNA from 1 species